UUUCUCUGAUAAUGAGACUGAUUACUACCUUAAUUGCAAUCCUAGAGCCUUCAUCCAGUAGCUGAUGGAAACAGAAGCAGACACCCACAGCUAAACACUGAACUGAACUGGAAUCCAGUUACAGAGAGGGAGGAGUGAUGAGCAAAGGUGUCAAGACCAGGCUGGUGAAAUCCACAGAAAUUUGGUAUCAUUCUAGUCCAAAUAUAAGGUUUGCUGAGGAAAAGUGAACAAGUGGAAAUGAAGUCUAUUGUCAAUGUGACCAGAGUUGUCCUCAGAGAGUAGGACAGAUAAAAUUAAAAUCAAACCUCUCUUACAAAGAAGAGGAGCCCAGAAGGCUGGAAAUUCCAGAUGAAAAAAAAGAAGGCACCAGAUACUUGGAAUGGGACAGAGCUGCCUGGGAGAGAAGUAAAAGGGUGAGGAGGCCCAAGAGACCAGACUGCAGGGAACCUUGGGAGAAAACCAUCAGGAAUGCCUCAUUUACUUUCAAGAGAAAUAUGUGUUAUCUGACUUGUUCAUGGCAGAUGACCAGAUGUUGUCCAGACAAUGAGGAAGUGUUCAGUUCCAGAGAUGACUUCAAACCUAUUGAAUUCAGAUGGGUGUGA
rnacentral:lncRNA from 1 species